rnacentral:rRNA from 1 species
CGGGGAUGGAUUAGCGGCGGACGGGUGAGUAACACGUGGGCAACCUGCCUCAAAGUGGGGGAUAGCCUUCCGAAAGGGAGAUUAAUACCGCAUAACAUUAGUUUUUCACAUGAAGUACUAAUUAAAGGAGUAAUCCGCUUUGAGAUGGGCCCGCGGCGCAUUAGCUAGUUGGUGAGGUAACGGCUCACCAAGGCCACGAUGCGUAGCCGACCUGAGAGGGUGAUCGGCCACAUUGGAACUGAGACACGGUCCAGACUCCUACGGGAGGCAGCAGUGGGGAAUAUUGCACAAUGGGCGAAAGCCUGAUGCAGCAACGCCGCGUGAGUGAUGAAGGCCUUCGGGUUGUAAAGCUCUGUCUUUGGGGACGAUAAUGACGGUACCCAAGGAGGAAGCCACGGCUAACUACGUGCCAGCAGCCGCGGUAAUACGUAGGUGGCGAGCGUUGUCCGGAUUUACUGGGCGUAAAGGAUGCGUAGGCGGAUGUUUAAGUCAGAUGUGAAAAUCCCGAGCUUAACUUGGGAACUGCAUUUGAAACUGGAUAUCUAGAGUGCGGGAGAGGAGAAUGGAAUUCCUAGUGUAGCGGUGAAAUGCGUAGAGAUUAGGAAGAACACCAGUGGCGAAGGCGAUUCUCUGGACCGUAACUGACGCUGAGGCAUGAAAG